AACGAACGCUGGCGGCAUGCCUAACACAUGCAAGUCGAACGAGACCUUCGGGUCUAGUGGCGCACGGGUGCGUAACGCGUGGGAACCUGCCUUUAGGUUCGGAAUAACUCAGAGAAAUUUGAGCUAAUACCGGAUGAUGUCUUCGGACCAAAGAUUUAUCGCCUUUAGAUGGGCCCGCGUUGGAUUAGCUAGUUGGUGGGGUAAAGGCCUACCAAGGCGACGAUCCAUAGCUGGUCUGAGAGGAUGAUCAGCCACACUGGGACUGAGACACGGCCCAGACUCCUACGGGAGGCAGCAGUGGGGAAUAUUGGACAAUGGGCGAAAGCCUCAUCCAGCAAUGCCGCGUGAGUGAUGAAGGCCUUAGGGUUGUAAAGCUCUUUUACCCGAGAUGAUAAUGACAGUAUCGGGAGAAUAAGCUCCGGCUAACUCCGUG
rnacentral:rRNA from 1 species